AAAAGAUGGUAAUUUCCAAUAGAGACUGAAAAGAUGGUAAUUUUUCAAAGUAGCAAGAUCAAGAAAAACAUAAUGAUAAAAGAUUGUCAGGUAACAAAAAUCAUCAAUCUUCAAGUACUAUCAGACUCAAAAUGUCAGGAAUGCUCAAAAUUACCAAAACCAUGUACUACAUCCAACAAUAACUAAAACGAGACCCAAAAAUAGCAGGAAUUACAUUCCAGUGAACUAAGCGGCAAUGGAUGGCUUAGACGCUGCAGAGAGUCUGGACCUCUUCUUAGCCAAACUCUCGCUGCGCCUUUCUCUUUGUUCCUUCAACCUUGAAGCAAGAAGCUUCUGAUAAUCAGCUGCCUCUGACUUGGCCUUGGCAAUUCUUUUCUUCUUGUCAGCAAUUCUUGCCCUCUUUCUUUGCAGAGUCAAUGGUGUCACGAGCCUCUGAAUCUUAGGAGCUUUGCUUGCAUUUUUCCCAGUCUUGGUAGUGAAAUUUCUGCGAUAGGUGUUGACAUACUUCCUGACAUCAUCUUCCUUGGAAAGAUUGAAGAGCUUUCUG
rnacentral:misc_RNA from 1 species